GACGAACGCUGCGGCGUGCUUAACACAUGCAAGUCGAACGGGAACCUUUAUUUCGGUAAAGGUGAGAGUGGCAAACGGGUGAGUAACACGUAGGCAACCUGCCGACAGGAUGGGGACAACAUUCCGAAAGGAAUGCUAAUACCGAAUGGAGUACGGGGAUGGCAUCAUCUCCGGAUAAAAGAUGGCCUCUGAAUAUGCUAUCGCCUGUCGAUGGGCCUGCGUCUGAUUAGCCAGUUGGCGGGGUACGGCCCACCAAAGCGACGAUCAGUAGCCGGUCUGAGAGGAUGAACGGCCACAUUGGGACUGAGACCGGCCCAGACUCCUACGGGAGGCAGCAGUGGGGAAUCUUCCACAAUGGGCGAAAGCCUGAUGGAGCAACGCCGCGUGAGUGAAGAAGGUCUUCGGAUCGUAAAGCUCUGUUGCACGGGACGAAACCGAGCUUGAGAAUAUUGAGUUUGGGUGACGGUACCGAGCGAGGAAGCCCCGG
rnacentral:rRNA from 1 species